AACGGGAUAUUGACUUAUUUGACCCAGGCUCUACAGUCUUCAGGAGAUGAUAUGUCACAGGCAAGCAUCCGUGUGAAAAUUGAUGCUGUUAAACGAGUAGCUAGUGGAGUGACUUCUAUGCCAUCUAAUUCUAAGGAGAAAGAAAUCCAAUAUGUAAGCAAUCAAGUGAUGGCACAAACUGGAGUUCGCAGCUGCUCAGAGGAGUUUGAUCAGGCUUAUAAGAGGCACAGAACUGGAAAAUGCUAAUAUAUGAUUCUUGGUCUAUUUCUUUGUCCCAUUUUCUUCAUCCAAUCUCUUUUUCAAUCGAUUCAGGUGCUCAUUUUUUGCUAUGCCAUGUACCUCAUAUUAUUAGGUCUUGAAGACCAAAUGUAAAUGUUUAUGCAGCUUGGUUUGCCAAUGCCACAUGGGUGAUAAUUGUUAUAUAUUCGUUUACUUAAAACUUGUUGGGGACAUAGGCUUGCAUGCAUAUAAAAGAAGCUGCUUUGUCACAGUUGCUAUUAU